rnacentral:rRNA from 1 species
ACAUGCAAGUCGAACGAUGAAGCUGGAGCUUGCUCUGGUGGAUUAGUGGCGAACGGGUGAGUAACACGUGAGUAACCUGCCCUUGACUCUGGAAUAAGCGUUGGAAACGACGUCUAAUACCGGAUACGAGCUUCCGCCGCAUGGUGAGGAGCUGGAAAGAAUUUCGGUCAAGGAUGGACUCGCGGCCUAUCAGGUAGUUGGUGAGGUAAUGGCUCACCAAGCCUACGACGGGUAGCCGCCUGAGAGGGUGACCGGCCACACUGGAACUGAGACACGGUCCAGACUCCUACGGGAGGCAGCAGUGGGGAAUAUUGCACAAUGGGCGCAAGCCUGAUGCAGCAACGCCGCGUGAGGGACGACGGCCUUCGGGUUGUAAACCUCUUUUAGUAGGGAAGAAGCGAAAGUGACGGUACCUGCAGAAAAAGCACCGGCUAACUACGUGCCAGCAGCCGCGGUAAUACGUAGGGUGCAAGCGUUAUCCGGAAUUAUUGGGGUAAAGAGCUCGUAGGCGGUUUGUCGCGUCUGCUGUGAAAACUGGGGGCUCAACCCCCAGCCUGCAGUGGGGUACGGGCAGACUAGAGUGCGGUAGGGGAGAUUGGAAUUCCUGGUGUAGCGGUGGAAUGCGCAGAUAUCAGGAGGAACACCGAUGGCGAAGGCAGAUCUCUGGGCCGUACUGACGCUGAGGAGCGAAAA